rnacentral:rRNA from 1 species
AGUGAACGCUGGCGGUAGGCCUAACACAUGCAAGUCGAACGGCAGCACAGUAAGAGCUUGCUCUUACGGGUGGCGAGUGGCGGACGGGUGAGGAAUACAUCGGAAUCUACUUUUUCGUGGGGGAUAAUGUAGGGAAACUUACGCUAAUACCGCAUACGACCUACGGGUGAAAGCAGGGGAUCUUCGGACCUUUCGCGAUUGAAUGAGCCGGUGUCGGAUUAGCUAGUUGGCGGGGUAAAGGCCCACCAAGGCGACGAUCCGUAGCUGGUCUGAGAGGAUGAUCAGCCACACUGGAACUGAGACACGGUCCAGACUCCUACGGGAGGCGGCAGUGGGGAAUAUUGGACAAUGGGCGCAAGCCUGAUCCAGCCAUACCGCGUGGGUGAAGAAGGCCUUCGGGUUGUAAAGCCCUUUUGUUGGGAAAGAAAAGCAGCAGGUUAAUACCCCGCUGUUCUGACGGUACCCAAAGAAUAAGCACCGGCUAACUUCGUG